UCUCAUGUUGGACGCAGGGAGUUGAGGACCUGGACUUCCUUGGGUCUCGAGGCUCUGCGCAACUUUACGUCGGUAAUCGUUGUGAACUUUCAAAAUGGUCGCAAUGUCAGCAUCGGUCACGAUCGAUUUGGUUGUAUAGGCCGGUUGGCAAGCCGCUCCCCAACUGGUGUUUACCGUAUAUAGACAGAGCGUGUUUUGGGUCGGCGCGGGGCAUGUACUAAUGUUGCAGUAAUUGGUGCCAAGAGUAGGAG